rnacentral:rRNA from 1 species
CCUACGGGUGGCAGCAGUGAGGAAUAUUGGUCAAUGGACGAGAGUCUGAACCAGCCAAGUAGCGUGAAGGAUGACUGCCCUAUGGGUUGUAAACUUCUUUUAUAAAGGAAUAAAACGAGGCACGUGUGCCUUUUUGCAUGUACUUUAUGAAUAAGGAUCGGCUAACUCCGUGCCAGCAGCCGCGGUAAUACGGAGGAUCCGAGCGUUAUCCGGAUUUAUUGGGUUUAAAGGGAGCGUAGAUGGGUUGUUAAGUCAGUUGUGAAAUUUUGCGGAUCAACCGUAAAAUUGCAAUUGAUACUGGCAGUCUUGAGUACAGUUGAGGUAGGCGGAAUUCGUGGUGUAGCGGUGAAAUGCUUAGAUAUCACGAAGAACCCCGAUUGCGAAGGCAGCUUACUAAACUGUGACUGACAUUGAUGCUCGAAAGUGUGGGUAUCAAACAGGAUUAGAUACCCUUGUAGUC